UGCGUAUUGUUAUGCGUUUACUUUUCUACAUUGGCUAGAGGUAUAGGGGGAGGGUUGAGAUCUCAUAAACAUGUUUAACCCCGCCGCAAUUUUGCGCCUGUCCCAAGUCAUGAGCCUCUGGCCUUUGUUCGUCUUGUAUGAUUUCUAAUUUUAGUUUCUUGUGUAUAAUUCGGAGUUUAGUAUGACGUCCAUUAUCACUGUACUAGUAUACAUAUUUUUAGGGGCCAGCUGAAGAACACCUACGGGUGAGGGAAUUCUCGCUACAUUGAAGACCCAUUGGU
rnacentral:lncRNA from 1 species